CCUACGGGUGGCAGCAGUGGGGGAUAUUGCACAAUGGGGGAAACCCUGAUGCAGCGACGCCGCGUGGGUGAAGAAGUAUUUCGGUAUGUACAGCCCUAUCAGCAGGGAAGAAAGAAGACGGUACCUGACUAAGAAGCCCCGGCUAACUACGUGCCAGCAGCCGCGGUAAUACGUAGGGGGCGAGCGUUAUCCGGAUUCACUGGGUGUAAAGGGAGCGUAGACGGCCGUGCAAGCCAGGAGUGAAAGCCCGGGGCCCAACCCCGGGACUGCUCUUGGAACUGUGCGGCUGGAGUGCGGGAGGGGCAGGCGGAAUUCCUGGUGUAGCGGUGAAAUGCGUAGAUAUCAGGAGGAACACCGGCGGCGAAGGCGGCCUGCUGGACCGCGACUGACGUUGAGGCUCGAAAGCGUGGGGAGCGAACAGGAUUAGAUACCCGUGUAGUC
rnacentral:rRNA from 1 species